rnacentral:rRNA from 1 species
UGGGGAAUAUUGCACAAUGGGCGAAAGCCUGAUGCAGCAACGCCGCGUGAGUGAUGAAGGCCUUCGGGUUGUAAAAGCUCUGUCUUUUGGGACGAUAAUGACGGUACCAAAGGAGGAAGCCACGGCUAACUACGUGCCAGCAGCCGCGGUAAUACGUAGGUGGCAAGCGUUGUCCGGAUUUACUGGGCGUAAAGGAUGCGUAGGCGGAUUUUUAAGUGAGAUGUGAAAUACCCGGGCUUAACUUGGGUGCUGCAUUUCAAACUGGGAAUCUAGAGUGCGGGAGAGGAGAAUGGAAUUCCUAGUGUAGCGGUGAAAUGCGUAGAGAUUAGGAAGAACACCAGUGGCGAAGGCGAUUCUCUGGACCGUAACUGACGCUGAGGCAUGAAAGCGUGGGUAGCAAACAGGAUUAGAUACCCUGGUAGUCCACGCCGUAAACGAUGAGUACUAGGUGUAGGAGGUAUCGACCCCUUCUGUGCCGCAGUUAACACAAUAAGUACUCCGCCUGGGAAGUACGAUCGCAAGAUUAAAAACUC